rnacentral:rRNA from 1 species
AUAUUGAAAGAAAUGCCAUAUAUGAAAUAUAUACGAUAAGCUAUGAUAGGGGAUAAAUGAGAAGUACUAUCGUACCUUAUUUAGCUUAUCGAUUAUUGAAUAUCUCGUUGCUUGAAUGAGAUAGGAAGAAAAUAUCGAAACAUCAAAAUGAUCGCAAAUGUCAAUUCCAGCGUGUAUUGUAUGCAUAAUAUAGUUGGAAUGAUUGACUAACGCGAUAAUAAUGAUGUUUAUGAAGAAUUU